UAUAACGGUCCUAAGGUAGCGAAAUUCCUUGUCGGGUAAGUUCCGACCUGCACGAAUGGCGUAAUGAUGGCCAGGCUGUCUCCACCCGAGACUCAGUGAAAUUGAACUCGCUGUGAAGAUGCAGUGUACCCGCGGCAAGACGGAAAGACCCCGUGAACCUUUACUAUAGCUUGACACUGAACAUUGAGCCUUGAUGUGUAGGAUAGGUGGGAGGCUUUGAAGUGUGGACGCCAGUCUGCAUGGAGCCGACCUUGAAAUACCACCCUUUAAUGUUUGAUGUUCUAACGUUGGCCCGUUAUCCGGGUUGCGGACAGUGUCUGGUGGGUAGUUUGACUGGGGCGGUCUCCUCCUAAAGAGUAACGGAGGAGCACGAAGGUUGGCUAAUCCUGGUCGGACAUCAGGAGGUUAGUGCAAUGGCAUAAGCCAGCUUGACUGCGAGCGUGACGGCGCGAGCAGGUGCGAAAGCAGGUCAUAGUGAUCCGGUGGUUCUGAAUGGAAGGGCCAUCGCUCAACGGAUAAAAGGUACUCCGGGGAUAACAGGCUGAUACCGCCCAAGAGUUCAUAUCGACGGCGGUGUUUGGCACCUCGAUGUCGGCUCAUCACAUCCUGGGGCUGAAGUAGGUCCCAAGGGUAUGGCUGUUCGCCAUUUAAAGUGGUACGCGAGCUGGGUUUAGAACGUCGUGAGACAGUUCGGUCCCUAUCUGCCGUGGGCGCUGGAGAACUGAGGGGGGCUGCUCCUAGUACGAGAGGACCGGAGUGGACGCAUCACUGGUGUUCGGGUUGUCAUGCCAAUGGCACUGCCCGGUAGCUAAAUGCGGAAGAGAUAAGUGCUGAAAGCAUCUAAGCACGAAACUUGCCCCG
rnacentral:rRNA from 1 species